CAGCAGCCACGGUAAUACGUAGGUGGCAAGCGUUGUCCGGAAUUAUUGGGCGUAAAGGGCUCGCAGGCGGUCUCCUAAGUCUGAUGUGAAAGCCCCCGGCUCAACCGGGGAGGGUCAUUGGAAACUAGGAAACUUGAGUGCAGAAGAGGAGAGUGGAAUUCCACGUGUAGCGGUGAAAUGCGUAGAGAUGUGGAGGAACACCAGUGGCGAAGGCGACUCUCUGGUCUGUAACUGACGCUGAGGAGCGAAAGCGUGGGGAGCGAACAGGAUUAGAUACCCCGGUAGUCCCUGUCUCUUAUAC
rnacentral:rRNA from 1 species